rnacentral:piRNA from 1 species
GAAGAAGAUAGAAGACAACAACAC